CUCUUCUUCCUUUUCUCCUCUAGAUUUCCAUUCAACUCUUAGCUUAUAAGAUUUGGUUGUAACCUUGAUGUGGGUUUGUUGUGGUUUGAUGAUUUUAUUGAGAAUUUGGGUUGGGAGAGGGAGGAAAAUAAAUUGCAGAGGCUAUUGGUUGGAGUGAAGAUUAUGAGUGAUUUUUGAAGGUUUAAGCUUGAGGUUAUACCAUAACCAAAGCUCGGGUACAAGUUCUACGCCACGCUCUCACUAGCCACAAGUCCAAGUCCUGAAAACAAUUAAGGUUUGGGAAAACAAGAGGUAAAAGGAUUAGCACAAAAAUGCUAAGUAAGCUCUACCCCGCCCUGUAAAAUUCCACAAACCACCACCAUCGCCGUCGACCCACCUGCUGCUCGCCGAAAAAAAGGGAGAUGGAAACCUAGGUUCACUGCUGCUGUUCGUUGUUGCUGUUGAAGGAGGAGGACACCGACGUGGGCGGUCGCCCACCACCGCCGCUGGAGGCCGCUGCCGGCCGCCGGAGACGCCACUGCUACCGUCACCUGGGGUCGCCGCCGGAGCUUCGUCGAUCUGCUGUGUUCGUCGAUCUGCAGUCCACCGAGAGAGAGAAAAUCGCGUAGAGAGGGAGGCGAAAUUAAAGGGCGUUUUGAAGAUGAAUAACUCUCUUGAAAGCAAUGUACAUAAGUUUAUAUAUCUACUUAGGUUUUGUCUUGGGCUUAAAACAAUUGGGCUUGCAUAAAUUGGACUCAAGAACUAUUUAGAUUUAAGAGAUUAAAUCAUUUGGACUUAGGUUUAUAUUGGGUUUAAACUUAGGCUCAAAACAAUGAUAUAAAGAUCACAGGUUUGUCUCAGAUA